rnacentral:lncRNA from 1 species
AUGUGGGAUGGCCUCCCAAAGUCCCUUCUAACUCCACUGGGUAAAUACUGAUCCACUACCAGGGGCCCCACAGAGUGCCGAGGCCUCCUCAUUGACAUCCCAUUCAGGGGUCUGGAUCAGUCCCGUGAUGGCCUCCCAGACAUCACUCUGGGGUCCAUGUGCUCCCCCUUACUCAGGUACUGGCCUGGAGAUACACCCCUGCUGCACCCCUGCUGUUGAACUCAGCAGGCUUGCUUCAUCCUGGAAUUCUUACAAGAUGACAUUGGUCUCCAGGGGGCCCUUCACUGGGAAUGUUCCUCAGGGGACAUAAGAGCCAUUAAUUCCUGUGGUUUCCAUAAAGGAAGUGCCCUGAUUCCUUUGUCAUAGCCCCAGUGGCUCUGGAUGAAGCCAUAUUACAAUUCUUGGGCAUCUCAAGAGUGGCAGUAUUGAAUGAGGGAAAGACUGGAUCACAAAUCUCAGGAACUGCAAUGUCCUGUGAUUGAAUUCUUCUUGUGCCUUAUGUUUCCCUCCUUUGCCAAGUGGGGUGAAUAAGAGUAUCAACCACAUAGAAUCAGCUCGAGGAAGAAAUGAAUCAGUACCAUCUCUUCAGAAUAGAGUCUGGUGGCAGUCAGUGUGGAACUGGGGGCUCCUGGCUCCUCAUCUUAAGGUUGGGGCAUUUGGUUGACCCAUUGCUCCUAAUCCAAUUAUUGGUUUGUGACUUUUUUUUUUUUUUUUUUUUUGAGAUGGGAAGACUGAGAAAGAGGGGGAGGGACAGCAAAAAGAGGCAGAGGGAAGGAGAAUAUAAUUAAUUUACUUCCCUGCUAACCCAAGGGGAAGUCAUUGGCUAAUGUGGGCUCCAGUUUUCCCAAUUCUUUAGCUGGAGUCACGCUGAAAUGACCAGCUGCUUUCAGACAGUGUGAUAUGGUGAGACUGAGGUCUGGAGGAGACUGGGUUGGCAUAGGACUACUGUCAAGUUUUACUCUGGCAUAUGCUCUAUUGAAGGCAUGGGUUGGGAUUUAGCCAGUAUUUUCUGGUUCAACUUUAUAUAAAAUACAAUUUCAGAUUAUUCGUUGAACUACUCCUGAACACCCAGGAAUAUUGAAAAAUAAGAAAAAAAGUCAUGUCUGUUUGCUCAGUGUAUUUAAAAGUGGUGUGACUCAAAGGGAAACCUCUAGAAUAUAGAGCUGAAGCCAGGGUUGCACAAAGGUUUGUGGAAUGCUCUGACUGUCGUGGGUGCUGGCUGGCAACUCAGGCUGGGAUGCAGCCAGCAGGAAAUGCGUGAGCAGCCCCACGAAGCUGCACCUGCUCGUCCUUGGAACUCCUCCUGCGGUCAAAAGUAUUUCAGAGAUGGAACCCAGCCAGCCCCGGGGGAAGGCUCCUGAGAAAAUAAAAGAACGAAAGCAACUUGGCCCCCAGAAUCUGCGUGAGACAGGUGACCUUCGUGGGAUGCCCAGUAGCAUUCAGCAUAAAGAAUUUUGCCCUUUGGAUUCUUCGGGAGUUAGAUUACGUACAAGGCAAGUGUAGAUUUUCAAUUUACACUCUGACAUGAGUCACUGAGCGCUCCGAGUCCGAGAUGACUUCUGUAAACAGGAUUGAACACGGAGCUAUCCGACUGUGACCUGGAACUUUGGCGCCUGACACAGACUGAUGAAACUGGAGUUUGCCUGGCACUCCUUUACAGGAAUAAAAAAAUCGGAUUUGGUCUUCUGGAACAUACAUAGAACAUCGGGGGAAAUGCUGAACUCCAUAUCCACUGCCUUGGCCAUUCUCAGGACCGUCCAGAAAAUGGCCUUCAUGUUAUUAAACCCUGGCCCAUGGGGAUCCCCAGUGGAGUUCCUCUUAGCCGCAGGAAUCUCCACGCUUGGGGGCCCCUAUGUGGGAGUGGGCAAUCUGGUUGAUGACUCAGAACAAACAACAGAGGCCCAGGAUAGGGAAGAGAGGGGAAAAGCCCUGGAGGUAAACUUUAGCUUGAUGGCUCAGCUUCCUAGGGUUGUUGAAGAAGGUGGGCACUUGUUAUGAACCAAGGAGUGUUGACUGAACCUCACUCUCAGCUGUGAACUGGUAGCCUGGUGAAAGUCAAACACCCUGUAAACUCGCUGGUGGGACUCUAUCAAUGCAGAGAAGCAAUCCUCAGUCUGGCUUCUACCUGGUGGUUCAUGAA